GUGCCAGCAGCCGCGGUAAUACGUAGGGGGCAAGCGUUGUCCGGAAUUAUUGGGCGUAAAGCGCGCGCAGGCGGUAGCUUAAGUCUUCUGUUUAAUCCCCGGGCUCAACCCGGGUUCGCAGAGGAAACUGGGCCGCUGGAGUGCAGGAGAGGAAAGUGGAAUUCCACGUGUAGCGGUGAAAUGCGUAGAGAUGUGGAGGAACACCAGUGGCGAAGGCGACUUUCUGGCCUGUAACUGACGCUGAGGCGCGAAAGCGUGGGGAGCAAACAGGAUUAGAUACCCCUGUAGUCC
rnacentral:rRNA from 1 species